ACUCCUACGGGAGGCAGCAGUGGGGAAUCUUGGACAAUGGGGGCGAACCCUGAUCCAGCCAUGCCGCGUGAGUGAUGAAGGCCUUAGGGUCGUAAAGCUCUUUCGCCUGUGAUGAUAAUGACAGUAGCAGGUAAAGAAACCCCGGCUAACUCCGUGCCAGCAGCCGCGGUAAUACGGAGGGGUUAGCGUUGUUCGGAAUUACUGGGGCGUAAAGCGCGCGUAGGCGGAUUAGUCAGUUAGAGGUGAAAUCCCAGGGCUCAACCCUGGAACUGCCUUUAAUACUGCUAGUCUUGAGUUCGAGAGAGGUGAGUGGAAUUCCGAGUGUAGAGGUGAAAUUCGUAGAUAUUCGGAGGAACACCAGUGGCGAAGGCGGCUCACUGGCUCGAUACUGACGCUGAGGUGCGAAAGUGUGGGGAGCAAACAGGAUUAGAUACCCUGGUAGGAUACG
rnacentral:rRNA from 1 species